rnacentral:rRNA from 1 species
UACGUAGGGUGCAAGCGUUGUCCGGAUUUAUUGGGCGUAAAGAGCUCGUAGGCGGCUUAGCAAGUCAGGUGUGAAACCUCCAGGCUCAACCUGGAGACGCCACUUGAUACUGCUAUGGCUUGAGUUUGGUAGGGGAAGACGGAAUUCCUGGUGUAGCGGUGAAAUGCGUAGAUAUCCGGAGGAACACCGGUGGCGAAGGCGGCUUCCUGGACCGACACUGACGCUGAGGCGCGAAAGCUAGGGGAGCAAACGGG